rnacentral:tRNA from 1 species
AAAACAGUGGCCUACUGGUUAGGGCUUUGGGCUUGAAACCGAAGAGUUGCCGGUUCGAUCCCCGGCCAGUAGGA